rnacentral:rRNA from 1 species
UACGUAGGGUGCAAGCGUUAAUCGGAAUUACUGGGCGUAAAGCGUGCGCAGGCGGUUAUGUAAGACAGAUGUGAAAUGCCCGGGCUUAACCUGGGAACUGCAUUUGUGACUGCAUGGCUAGAGUUUGGCAGAGGGGGGGUAGAAUUCCACGUGUAGCAGUGAAAUGCGUAGAUAUGUGGAGGAACACCGAUGGCGAAGGCAGCCCCCCUGGGUCAAGACUGGACGCUCAUGGCACGAAAGCG